AUACCUUUCUCCGCCUUCUGGCGAAGAUCAAGUGUGGCAUCCGUUCUUAUCAAUUUAAUAUCUGAUAUGUGUGUCAUCGACACACAAGGUAGCUUGAUACCUGGCUCUUGCGAUGUCGCCCAUGUGUUGCACUACUGCACAGGCCUGGCGCACCCAAC
rnacentral:snRNA from 1 species